GUGGAGGUGGCUCAGUGGAUAGAGCACAUGCCUUGUAUGUGUGAAGCCUUGGGUUCAAUCCCUAACUCCACA
rnacentral:tRNA from 1 species